rnacentral:rRNA from 1 species
GGGCCCGCACAAGCGGUGGAGCAUGUGGUUUAAUUCGAUGCAACGCGAAGAACCUUACCAACACUUGACAUGUUCGUCGCGACUUUAAGAGAUUAAAGUUUUCGGUUCGGCCGGACGAAACACAGGUGCUGCAUGGCUGUCGUCAGCUCGUGUCGUGAGAUGUUGGGUUAAGUCCCGCAACGAGCGCAACCCUCACUUUUAGUUGCCAUCAUUUAGUUGGGCACUCUGAAAGAACUGCCAGUGAUAAGCUGGAGGAAGGUGGGGAUGACGUCAAGUCCUCAUGGCCCUUACGUGUUGGGCUACACACGUGCUACAAUGGUAUCUACAACAGGAAGCAAAACAGCGAUGUUAAGCA